CUAAGCCAUGCGAGUCAAAUGUUCUUCGUGAACAUGGCGUACUGCUCAGUAACACGUGGACAACCUGCCCUAAGGUCUGGCAUAACUCCGGGAAACUGGGGAUAAUUCCAGAUGAACCAUAGAUACUGGAAUGUGCUGUGGUUAAAAGCUCCGGCGCCUAAGGAUGGGUCUGCGGUCUAUCAGGUAGUAGUGGGUGUAAUGUACCUACUAGCCGACGACGGAUACGGGUUGUGGGAGCAAGAGCCCGGAGAUGGAUUCUGAGACAUGAAUCCAGGCCCUACGGGGCGCAGCAGGCGCGAAAACUUUACAAUGCGGGAAACCGCGAUAAGGGGACACCGAGUGCCAGCAUCUUAUGUUGGCUGUCCGCAUGUAUAAAUCACAUGUGUUAGCAAGGGCCGGGCAAGACCGGUGCCAGCCGCCGCGGUAACACCGGCGGCCCGAGAGGUGGCCACUAUUAUUGGGUCUAAAGGGUCCGUAGCCGGUUUGGUCAGUCUUCCGGGAAAUCUGACGGCUUAACCGUUAGGCUUUCGGGGGAUACUACCAGGCUUGGGACCGGGAGAGGUAAGAGGUACUACGGGGGUAGGAGUGAAAUCUUGUAAUCCUCGUGGGACCACCAGUGGCGAAGGCGUCUUACCAGAACGGGUCCGACGGUGAGGGACGAAGGCUGGGGGCACGAACCGGAUUAGAUACCCGGGUAGUCCCAGCCGUAAACUAUGCUCGCUAGGUGUCAGGGACGGUGCGACCGUUUCUGGUGCCGCAGGGAAGCCGUGAAGCGAGCCACCUGGGAAGUACGGUCGCAAGGCUGAAACUUAAAGGAAUUGGCGGGGGAGCACUACAACGGGUGGAGCCUGCGGUUUAAUUGGACUCAACGCCGGAAAACUCACCGGGGGCGACAGCAAUAUGUAG
rnacentral:rRNA from 1 species